rnacentral:rRNA from 1 species
CCUACGGGGUGCAGCAGUAGGGAAUCUUCCACAAUGGGCGAAAGCCUGAUGGAGCAACGCCGCGUGGGUGAAGAAGGUCUUCGGAUCGUAAAACCCUGUUGUUAGAGAAGAAAGUGCGUGAGAGUAACUGUUCACGUUUCGACGGUAUCUAACCAGAAAGCCACGGCUAACUACGUGCCAGCAGCCGCGGUAAUACGUAGGUGGCAAGCGUUAUCCGGUUUUAUUGGGCGUAAAGGGCACGCAGGCGGUAUUUUAAGUCUGAUGUGAAAGGCUUCGGCUUAACCGGAGUAGUGCAUUGGAGACUGGGAGACUGGAGUGCAGAAGAGGAGAGUGGAACGCCAUGUGUAGCGGUGAAAUGCGUAGAUAUAUGGAAGAACACCAGUGGCGAAAGCGGCUCUCUGGUCUGUAACUGACGCUGAGGUUCGAAAGCGUGGGUAGCAAACAGGAUUAGAUACCCUGGUAGUC